UGAAGGAGGAAGCAAAUAACCUUUGAGUCUUAAAACAAAUCGAAUAGCAAUGCAGAAAAAUUCCUUGUAGAAAAGAGUGAUUUUAUUUUCAAGGUGAUAAAGUGUAGUUAUGAUGGAGAUUGAUGAGUGAUUAAGCCAAGGAGUAAAAAGUAAUGAAUAAGAUAUUAAAGUGAAAUAAAGAGCUACUUACAAGACCUAGUAAAUAUGCAUUUACUUGGAAAUAUGAUGACUUGUAGUAGUAACC
rnacentral:lncRNA from 1 species